UACAGAGGGUGCAAACGUUGCUCGGAAUUACUGGGCGUAAAGCGCGCGUAGGCUGACACGCAAGUCGGGUGUGAAAUCCCAGGGCUCAACCUUGGAACUGCAUUCGAAACUGCGUGUCUUGAGUACUGGAGAGGGAAGCGGAAUUCCGGGUGUAGAGGUGAAAUUCGUAGAUAUCCGGAGGAACACCAGUGGCGAAGGCAGCUUCCUGGACAGUAACUGACGCUGAGGCGCGAAAGCGUGGGGAGCAAACAGG
rnacentral:rRNA from 1 species